UACGUAGGGCGCAAGCGUUAUCCGGAAUUAUUGGGCGUAAAGAGCUCGUAGGCGGUUUGUCGCGUCUGCCGUGAAAGUCCGGGGCUCAACUCCGGAUCUGCGGUGGGUACGGGCAGACUAGAGUGAUGUAGGGGAGACUGGAAUUCCCGGUGUAGCGGUGAAAUGCGCAGAUAUCGGGAAGAACACCCGUGGCGAAGGCGGCUCUCUGGGACGGUACUGACGCUGAGACGCGAAAGCGUGGGGAGCAAACAGG
rnacentral:rRNA from 1 species